rnacentral:rRNA from 1 species
UACGGAGGGUGCAAGCGUUAUCCGGAUUCACUGGGUUUAAAGGGUGCGUAGGUGGGUUGGUAAGUCCGUGGUGAAAUCUCCGAGCUUAACUCGGAAACUGCCGUGGAUACUAUCAAUCUUGAAUACUGUGGAGGUAAGCGGAAUAUGUCAUGUAGCGGUGAAAUGCUUAGAUAUUGCUCGGAAGGCCAGAGGCGAAGGCGGGUAACUGGUGCGCAACUGACACUGAUGCACGAAAGCGUGGGGAGCAAACAGG